UACGGGGGGGGCAAGCGUUGUUCGGAAUUACUGGGCGUAAAGGGUUCGUAGGUGGCCAACUAAGUCAGACGUGAAAUCCCUCAGCUUAACUGGGGAACUGCGUCUGAUACUGGUUGGCUUGAGUGCAGGAGAGGAACGCGGAAUUCCAGGUGUAGCGGUGAAAUGCGCAGAUAUCAGGAGGAACACCGGUGGCGAAGGCGGGUCUCUGGGCCGAUACUGACGCUGAGGAGCGAAAGCGUGGGGAGCGAACAGG
rnacentral:rRNA from 1 species